rnacentral:rRNA from 1 species
UACGUAGGGACCAAGCGUUGUUCGGAUUUACUGGGCGUAAAGGGCGCGUAGGCGGCAUGACAAGUCACUUGUGAAAUCUCCGGGCUUAACUCGGAACGGUCAAGUGAUACUGUCGCGCUAGAGUGCGGAAGGGGCAAUCAGAAUUCUUGGUGUAGCGGUGAAAUGCGUAGAUAUCAAGAGGAAUACCUGAGGUGAAGACGGGUUGCUAGGCCGAUACUGACGCUGAAGCGCGAAAGCCAGGGGAGCAAACGGG